GGCCGAUGAUUAGCGGCGCGAAUCGUCAUGUGCCAAGCAGCCGCGGUAAUUCCAGCUCCAAUAGCGUAUACUAAAGUUGUUGCGGUUAAAAAGCUCGUAGUUGGAUCUUGGAAUGUGUUCAAGCGGGUCAGCUUCUGGCUGUGCGCUGCUUGACGUGUUCUUCUAUUUGGUUUUGGUGCGGUGCGCUUAACUGCGUGGCGCUCCCGGCCGAAACGUUUACCUUGAAAAAAUUAGAGUGUUCAAAGCAGACCUGUUUGAGUCUGAAUAUUCGUGCAUGGAAUAAUGAAAUAUGAAUUCGGUUCUAUUUUGUUGGUUUUCGGAACUCGAGUUAAUGAUCAAGAGGGACAGACGGGGGCAUUCGUACUCUGCCGUUAGAGGUGAAAUUCUUGGAUCGGCGGAAGACGCGCAACUGCGAAAGCAUUUGCCAAGAAUGUUUUCUUUAAUCAAGAACGAUAGUCGGAGGUUCGAAGACGAUCAGAUACCGUCCUAGUUUCGACUGUAAACUAUGCCAGCUAACGAUCAGACAGAGUUCUCUACGACUUGUCUGGCAGUUUCCGGGAAACCAAAGCGUUUGGGUUCCGGGGGAAGUAUGGUUGCAAAGCUGAAACUUAAAGGAAUUGACGGAAGGGCACCACCAGGAGUGGAGCCUGCGGCUUAAUUUGACUCAACACGGGGAAACUCACCCGGCCCGGACACAGUGAGGAUUGACAGAUUGAGAGUUCUUUCUUGAUUCUGUGGGUGGUGGUGCAUGGCCGUUCUUAGUUGGUGGAGCGAUUUGUCUGGUUAAUUCCGAUAACGAACGAGACUCUGGCAUGUUAAAUAGUCGCGGAAGUGCGUAUGCACUUGCCGAAUUGACUUCUUAGAGGGACUAGUGAUUUUAAUUCACACGAGAUUGAGCAAUAACAGGUCUGUGAUGCCCAAGGGCGAAUCGGUUAAACUGGCAAGA
rnacentral:rRNA from 1 species